GUGUGCAGAGAGACUGAGGGGCUACUUCUUUCAUGCAGAAAGAGAGUGAGAGACACAUAGGCCCGAGGGAGUAGAGGAAAAAGUUCCAAUUUUCUUUCAUAUUGCAAGAACAGCAACAUCCAAUAUGAAAUUUUCCGUUCGAUAUCUCUGGCAUAUACCAAUUUGCUUGAAGAAAAAGAAGCAAUAGACAUUGCAGGCUGGUUUUGGUUUGAGUGGGGAUCCUAUCAUUACAGCUCAUGCAAGCAAGUUGAUGCUGUUGAAAUCAAUUGCACACCAUCUAGAAUAUUACAUACUUGCAAGUACCAGAAGCUGCAGUUUGUCUCCUUCCUCAUCAAAAGUGAAGUUGAAGGCAUAUACUGAUCGAACUUCAUGAAGAAGAACGAGUGGAACAUACAUUCCAUCCUGGUUCGAAUGAGACAUUGCUUUUGGCAGUGCAAGACAACGGGAAACAACUUCUUCAAAUCCAAGGAAUGUUAGAACAAAAGAUGAAGCAAUGAGAAGCAAUUCAAGCAGCUAAUGCGAGGCUGGCAGGGAAAGGUGGAGAGUUGUCACAUCAUGAAACUACCACUAUUGGUGGUGCUUUGGAUUUGACGCGGAAAACUGCUGAAGAUGUUUUGACUCCAAUAUCAGAAAAUUUUACCCUUCAUAAACUCCAAACUUCACAUGAAACACUGGAUUCAAUAAUGAGCAGAGGUCACAGUCAUAUACCAAUCUAUUCAGGAAAUCUAAAUAAUAUCAUUGGCCUCAUUUUGCAUACAACACGUCCUAAUCUAUCUAGGAGUUGGAGAGGGUGGCUCAUAUAUGUCUAGAAGAAAGAGAGGAGACAAAACAAAGAGAGAGAGAAGAGAACAGGGAAUAAGGAAAAGAAGCAGAAGAGAGAGGUGGAAAGUUGUUACUCAAAACAAAACAAGUGGAAGGUAUCAAGUGCUCAACAAACCAAGAGAGGCCAACACCUUAUGAAAUGAAUAUCUAAAAGCAUCAAAAGAGCAUUCUACCUGCAACCACUCUUUAGCUGGAGACCAAAACGCAAGACACACCUAAAGAAUCGUUUAUCCCUUCCUUGAGUCAAAAAAUGUCUUGGUUGUAUCUAAGCAGACCAUUCUACUUGGUGUGGAGGUAGUGCAGUAGCUGCUCAUGUCUUUCUACAACUGCAUCAAUUGGAUGUUCACUGAUACACAAAUUUGGAAACUUAAGAUAUUGCGCUCCAAGGAACUUCAGAAUAACAAGCCAAACCGCUAAUUUUCAACAUCCAUCAAACACUUCUCAUUAUUGUCUUUCAUCUAUUGCUUUAUUAGACGAUACAUACCAAGUUUGAUUUGAAGUUAUUGAUUCCAGUGAGAAAUUCGUGUAACAUAUUUUAAUCAUUCUUUAAUGAAUGUGUGCAACAGAAACAUUCUGCUAUGUAAUGUUAUCCCAGUAACAUAUAACAAUAAUUCCCGCAGCAAAGCGCGGGCGAAUAUUACUAGUUAUAACUAUACUAAAACGCAAACAGAGUGAGGACAAACGAAAUGAAUAGUGCUCUGACUAUUCUGCCCCUAGCCUGCCUCAUGUCUACUAUUACCGAAUUGCCCCAACACCUGUACGUUUUCUAUGUCACCGCGUCGCCGCCAGCUGUUCGCUUCUCCUGCCACCGAUUACAGUUGCGUGGCUGUGCGUCCUUGCUCUGCAGAAAUAUAGAGGUAGACAUUGAUUGAUGGUGAGAUACAGGGUCUACUUCUUUCCUCUGCACAAAGAGAGAGAGAGAGAGCGAAGGGACUAGAGGAAGAAGAAGUGACUCAGCAGUAAGUUCCUGUUCCCAGGCGUUGUUAUUCAUCAAUAGGUAUGGACUCUUGCUGCUGCAUCUCACCAGGAAAAUGCAGUUCUCUGUAUUUGCAGUUGUUUCCGGUUUGAUUUGUGGUUUGGGUGAGUGGUUUUGUGAUUGGUGUGUUGUUUUUCUGUUUCUGUUUUUGUUGGUGUUCGAUCUAUGGUUGAAAUCAUGUCUUUAUAAAGGCUUAGGCACUGCAGUGAAAGGGAGAAGAGGGCAAAUCAGUUUCUGUUUCCUUUCUAAAGAUUCCAGUUAUUCAUGAUUACUGUCUUCCUCAAAUCCUAGAAUUCAUGAUUGAAAUGGAAUUCGUCUAAAGAAAAUUCAGAGAAAUACAUGCAGGUUCCAGAUUUUGAUAACAGCAGUUUAGUGAUGUGAAAUCUGUCUGAGCUGAUUGGGAAUGGUUUUGGCGGGUGCAGUUUCGGUGGCAGUUGUGGUGGUGGUGGGAGAAGGUUCAGGGAUAGACCCAUCGACAUAGUCCCAAAGUUUUUGGCCAUGAAGGUAAGGUUUAAGUUGGCGAAGCCAAGUUAAGUAGUUGGUUUCAGUUAAUUUGGUGAAUUGGGCAGCAUUUUGGGCAGGAGUAAUGGAGGAAGUUGGGGUGGCCAUGGAAGCUGGGAGAGGAAGACACAGAAGCUAGAGGAAAAGGAAUGACAUGUGAGGAUCCUAGACCUAGGCUGAUACCAUGUAGAAUCUUAAAUGUGGUGAUUUGGAUGGAGUAAGGAAAGAGCAACAAGCAGUUAGGUCCAAAAUUCAGCAACUUGAUGAUGCAAUUAAGGUCGUAGAUAAGGAAAUGGGAUGAGCUGAAAACUGUAACUGAUAAGAGGGAUCAAGCACAACAGAGCAUUUUUACCGUUAGGCAGCAGCUUGAUUAGCAAGAUAUGUCUGCUGGAACAAGGGACAACGUUGAAAACCAAUUUUGGUCCGAAAACCAAGAUAGUGGCAGCAUCCAUUCAUCUACUGCAGGGGGUGACAUCCUUACAGAUUCACUUGAAGACUCAUCUGAAGACCUGAUAUAAAUACCGUGAUAUAAAUAGCUACCCGUCUUCACAUGUUUUGGCCAAGCCUAACAAUUUUUGGCACAAUGUACAUAAACAACUACUUUGUUGGCAUCUGUAUUUUUGGAAAUCUGGCAGACAUCACAUUUGCAAUCUAGAAAAGGCACCAGAUUUUUGGUUAGCAUCUGUAGCCUUUAACAUCUGCCUAUAAUGUAGUUUCGAUGUAAUAUAUCUAUAACGUAGAACAAUGUGUUUCAAUGUAAUAUAUCUAUAACAUAGAUCAAUGUGUAAUAUAGUUUUACUAUAUGUAAUAUAUCUAGAACGUAGUUUCAAUGUAAAAUUCAACCAUAUCAAUAGUAUACCCGCAGCACCGCGCGGGCCUUCUGCCUAGUA